rnacentral:rRNA from 1 species
AGAGUUUGAUCCUGGCUCAGAACGAACGCUGGCGGCGUGGCUAAGACAUGCAAGUCGAACGGACUGCUCAAUUUAUUGGACAGUUAGUGGCGAAAGGGUUAGUAACGGGUAGGUAACGUACCCUGUGCUUUGGGAUAGCGUCAUCCCGACUUCGGUCGGGAUUUCCGAAAGGGGCGGUAAUACCAAAUAAUAUCAUUUGUCUAUAGGCGGAUGAUCAAAGAUUUAUCGGCACAGGAGCGGCCUGCCUCCUAUCAGCUUGUUGGUGAGGUAACGGCUCACCAAGGCAGCGACGGGUAGCGGGACUGAGAGGUUGGCCCGCAACAUCGGGACUGAGACACUGCCCGGACCUCCACGGAGGGCUGCAGUAACGAAUAUUGUGCAAUGGGCGAAAGCCUGACACAGCGACGCCGCGUGUAGGAGGAAGUCCUUAGGGAUGUAAACUACUGUCAGGGGGAAGAAAGUGCGCUUCGGCGUAUUGAUCUAACCCAAAGGAAGUCACGGCUAACUUCGUGCCAGCAGCCGCGGUAAGACGAAGGUGGCAAGCGUUGUUCGGUAUCACUGGGCUUAAAGCGUGUGUAGGCGGAAAAGUAAGCGUUUCGUGAAAGCCCCCGGCUUAACCGGGGAACUGCGCAACGAACUGCUUUUCUUGAGGCAAGUAGGGGUGCAUGGAACUCUUGGUGGAGCGGUGGAAUGCGUAGAUAUCAAGAGGAACGCCAGUGGAGAAAUCGGUGCACUGGGCUUGUCCUGACGCUGAGACACGAAAGCGUGGGUAGCGAACGGGAUUAGAUACCCCGGUAGUCCACGCCGUAAACGAUGCCUACUAGGUUGUGAAAGUUCUGACACUGGCACAGCCGAAGCAAAAGUGUUAAGUAGGCCGCCUGGGGGAGUACGGUCGCAAGGCUAAAACUCAAAUGAAUUGACAG